GACGAACGCUGGCGGCGUGCUUAACACAUGCAAGUCGAACGGAAAGGCCCUGCUUUUGUGGGGUGCUCGAGUGGCGAACGGUGAGUAAAACGUGAGUAACCUGCCCUUGACUUUGGGAUAAAUUCAGGAAACUGGGGCUAAUACCGGAUAGGAGGUCCUGCUGCAUGGGGGGGGGUGGGAAGUUUCGGCGGUUGGGGAUGGACUCGCGGCUUAUCAGCUUGUUGGUGGGGUAGUGGCUUACCAAGGCUUUGACGGGUAGCCGGCCUGAGAGGGUGACCGGCCACAUUGGGACUGAGAUACGGCCCAGACUCCUACGGGAGGCAGCAGUGGGGAAUAUUGCACAAUGGGCGGAAGCCUGAUGCAGCAACGCCGCGUGCGGGAUGACGGCCUUCGGGUUGUAAACCGCUUUCGCCUGUGACGAAGCGUGAGUGACGGUAAUGGGUAAAGAAGCACCGGCUAACUACGUG
rnacentral:rRNA from 1 species